UGGGAGACAAACUCUAGUGCUCUGUGUCCUUCCCCACAGAGGACUAACCUGGAAACUCACCAUGAAAUUUAGGCUGAACUGGAUUUUCCUUCUGACCAUUUUCCAAGGUGUCCAGUGUGAUGUGGAGCUGGUGGAGUCUGGGGGAGAUGUGAUACAGCCUGGGGGAUCUCUGACUCUCCUGCAAAGUUUCUGGAUUUACUAUCAGCAGCUACAGGAUGAACUGGGUCCGCCAGGCCUCAGGAAAGGGACUGGAAUGGGUUGCAAGCAUUUAUAGUAGUACAUACUAUGCAGACUCUGUGAAAGGCCGAUUCACCAUCUCCAGAGAUAAUGGCAACAGCAUCUUAUAUCUACAAAUGACUUCCCUUGAGACUGAGGACACAGCUGUGUAUUACUGUG